GGAUUGUGGCUCAGUGGUAGAGCGCUCGCCUAGCGCGGGCGGGACCUGGAUUCAAUCCUCAGCACCA
rnacentral:tRNA from 1 species